AUGUGGUUUUGUCAUGUUUGUUCCUGCAGAGUUUUGGAGAACCUCACCAUUACCUUCCUGUAUGUGGGAAAUUGCUACACCUGGUGUGCAGAGUCAUUCUGGAGCAGCAUCAGCCUCUGGUCCUUGUCAUGUUUAACACCCAGUAAACUGCAUUGUGUGUGCAGCUGCAAUGAGAACUGGAGCCAGCGUGCAAGCAGAGGCCUUCCACUGACUGCAAUGGGCUUUGCUUUACAUUCUGAACACCUAAGGCAUUCAAGCAGCAUGUCCCAAAAAUCUGUGGCUUAUACACCUUGCUCCAAAGCAUGCCAGCAUUUUGUUAGAUCAGGUUGCACCUUUGGGUGAAACCACCAUCCAAAGCGCUUCACAUUAUUUCACUUCCACGCUUCACAUGGAUUAGGUUAAACCAGCAGAACAAAUUACACAGAGCCAAACCUCCAUCAAACUGAUUUCCAGAGGAAUGAUAACAAUAAUAACAGCAACAGUGGGUUCAUGCUAACAGCUCUCAUUCACACCUGGUGCUCCCUGCGUUCCUGGAAUGAGAGGCAGCUUGAACAAAGAGACCAAGAAAACAUCAACAACAGGCAGAGCAAGGCAAAGAAAAUGAAAGACAGAUGUAGGAAAGAAAGUGGGAGCUUUCUGCUUUGAUUUGCACAGAACCCAUAUCUUUAUUGUCCUAAGGAAUAUCAGUUUGUUGUCCUAAUGAUAUCAGUUCUCCUGUCCUCUUGCAUGACUUAUGAUGCACCUUUAUUUCUACAGAUGAAAUCCAUUGAUUUUAAUUAUAACAUGAUGGAUACAUAGCCCAAGAUAGUGUUGUGUGGUGAAUUAUUUGAACAGCAAUGCAGUAGGGCCCUUUGGCUUUACGGAAAUUUCCGCAGCUGUUUAUAUUGGCAAGGCCAGGUUUGUCCCCAGCUUCAUCCUGUGUGAAGUUUGUCCACCCACUCAAGUUAGCCUGUGCAUUCACCUCAUUUUUAAUGGGAGCAUUAUCAUCUUCUACUUUGCACUGGCAAAAAAUAUCUCUCAGAAGAGGAAAAGACAGAAACACACCUACCUAGCUUUCUUGAACAACUGUCUCCAUUCACAUUGUAGGAAGCAAACACUUGAAGGAAUUUGCCAGAAAUUGCUUUCCCUUAGGUACAGUCCAGACCAAAAGUGGACACAGAGAUUGUGAUACCAUUGCUCAGGCAGAAGGAUCCACUUGAAGACACAUUAGUUCAGAAAACACGCGCACUGCAAGCACAAUAGCAGCAGUUGUAUGGUUGUAUGUUGGACAAAGCUAGUUGUGUUUUCUGGCUGUGCACAGAUCAAGUACUGCCCUGAGGGCAGGAUCCAACCCACGCAAUGA
rnacentral:lncRNA from 1 species